rnacentral:rRNA from 1 species
UACGUAGGGGGCUAGCGUUGUCCGGAAUCAUUGGGCGUAAAGCGCGCGUAGGCGGCCAGAUAAGUCCGGUGUGAAAGUCACAGGCUCAACCUGUGAAUGCCGCUGGAAACUGUCUGGCUCGAGUCCGGGGAGGGGCGAGUGGAAUUCCCGGUGUAGCGGUGAAAUGCGCAGAUAUCGGGAGGAACACCAAUGGCGAAGGCAGCUCGCUGGGACGGUACUGACGCUGAGACGCGAAAGCGUGGGGGAGCAAACAGGAUUAGAAA